rnacentral:rRNA from 1 species
UACGGAGGGAGCUAGCGUUAUUCGGAACUACUGGGCGUAAAGCGCACGUAGGCGGCUUUGUAAGUAAGAGGUGAAAGCCCAGAGCUCAACUCUGGAAUUGCCUUUUAGACUGCAUCGCUUGAAUCAUGGAGAGGUCAGUGGAAUUCCGAGUGUAGAGGUGAAAUUCGUAGAUAUUCGGAAGAACACCAGUGGCGAAGGCGGCUGACUGGACAUGUAUUGACGCUGAGGUGCGAAAGCGUGGGGAGCAAACAGG